UUUACUUUGGUAGGGGUUUGAACUUGGAAAUGUUAAGAACUUCGACAAAUUUUAUACAUCUGAUGCAUUCUUUCUUUAGAGUUGCCAUUUAGGGAGUUUGUUUUCACUAAAAUUAAACAUCCCUCCCCCAGUGACCGCGCUGUUGAAACAGCAGUUUCCGAAAAUUAGUGAUUGCGAUUCACGCGCUAUAGAAAAACACGUGAUCCAGGAAAAGGUUUACGCAUGCUCACGGAAUGCCAUGCGGAAGACGCGGGGAAUGUUGCCAUUGUUGUUGGACGAAAUGGUUCGCGGUCAAAAUGAUCUAAAGACACUAUUUUGUCACUAUGACACUGAACAAUGUGCAGAAAAGUACAAGACAAAUAAUUAAAGGAAAACUAAAACUGAACGAUGACCCAAAUCCCCCCCA